rnacentral:rRNA from 1 species
GACGAACGCUGGCGGCGUGCUUAACACAUGCAAGUCGAACGGAAAGGCCCUGCUUUUGUGGGGUGCUCGAGUGGCGAAAGGGUGAGUAACACGUGAGUAACCUGCCCUUGACUUUGGGAUAACUUCAGGAAACUGGGGAUAAUACCGGAUAGGAGCUCCUGCUGCAUGGUGGGGGUUGGAAAGUUUCGGCGGUUGGGGAUGGAAUCGCGGCUUAUCAGCUUGUUGGUGGGGUAGUGGCUUACCAAGGCUUUGACGGGUAGCCGGCCUGAGAGGGUGACCGGCCACAUUGGGACUGAGAUACGGCCCAGACUCCUACGGGAGGCAGCAGUGGGGAAUAUUGCACAAUGGGCGGAAGCCUGAUGCAGCAACGCCGCGUGCGGGAUGACGGCCUUCGGUUUGUAAACCGCUUUCGCCUGUGACGAAGCGUGAGUGACGGUAAUGGGUAAAGAAGCACCGGCUAACUACGUG